rnacentral:misc_RNA from 1 species
GAUGAAGAACAUAGCGAAAUGCGAUAAGUAAUGUGAAUUGCAGAAUUCAGUGAAUCAUCGAAUCUUUGAACGCACAUUGCGCCCGCUAGUAUUCUGGCGGGCAUGCCUGUCCGAGCGUCAUUUCAACCCUCAAGCCCCCGGGCUUGGUGUUGGGGAUCGGCGAGCCUCCGCGCCCGCCGUCCCCUAAAUCUAGUGGCGGUCUCGCUGUAGCUUCCUCUGCGUAGUAGCACACCUCGCACUGGGAAACAGCGCGGCCACGCCGUUAAACCCCCAACUUCUGAACGUUUGACCUCGGAUCAGGUAGGAAUACCCGCUGAACUUAAGCAUAUCAAUAAGCGGAGGA